rnacentral:rRNA from 1 species
UACAGAGGGUGCGAGCGUUGUCCGGAAUCACUGGGCGUAAAGGGCGCGUAGGUGGCGCGACAAGUCAGUGGUGAAAGCUCGGCGCUCAACGCCGAGUCGGCCACUGAUACUGUUGGGCUUGAGCACUGUAGAGGCUAAUGGAAUUCCGGGUGUAGCGGUGGAAUGCGUAGAGAUCCGGAAGAACACCGGUGGCGAAGGCGGUUAGCUGGGCAGUUGCUGACACUGAGGCGCGACAGCGUGGGGAGCAAAC